UACGUAGGGUGCGAGCGUUAAUCGGAAUUACUGGGCGUAAAGCGUGCGCAGGCGGCGCCAUAAGACAGCUGUGAAAUCCCCGGGCUUAACCUGGGAACUGCGGUUGUGACUGUGGUGCUAGAGUACGGCAGAGGGAGGUGGAAUUCCUGGUGUAGCAGUGAAAUGCGUAGAGAUCAGGAGGAACACCGAUGGCGAAGGCAGCCUCCUGGGCUGAUACUGACGCUCAUGCACGAAAGCGUGGGGAGCAAACAGG
rnacentral:rRNA from 1 species